UACGUAGGGUGCAAGCGUUAAUCGGAAUUACUGGGCGUAAAGCGUGCGCAGGCGGUGAUGUAAGACCGAUGUGGAAUCCCCGGGCUUAACCUGGGAGCUGCAUUGGUGACUGCAUUGCUGGAGUAUGGCAGAGGGGGGUGGAAUUCCACGUGUAGCAGUGAAAUGCGUAGAGAUGUGGAGGAACACCGAUGGCGAAGGCAGCCCCCUGGGCCAAUACUGACGCUCAUGCACGAAAGCGUGGGGAGCAAACAGG
rnacentral:rRNA from 1 species